UACGUAGGGGGCCAGCGUUGUCCGGAAUCAUUGGGCGUAAAGCGCGCGUAGGCGGUCAGGUAAGUCGGGUGUGAAAGCCCCGGGCUCAACCUGGGAAUUGCAUUCGAGACUGAAUAGCUAGGGUACGGUAGAGGGAAGUGGAAUUUCCGGUGUAGCGGUGAAAUGCGUAGAUAUCGGAAGGAACAUCAGUGGCGAAAGCGACUUCCUGGACCAGUACCGACGUUCAGGCACGAAAGCGUGGGGAGCAAACAGG
rnacentral:rRNA from 1 species